UGGCGAAGGUCCCAGCAGGGAGUUGGGAACAAUAAUGAAUUGAGGCCUCUCAAACAAAUAAUGCCUUCGCAAAUCCAUUUUGCCGAAUCGUAGGAUGCCCAUUUAUUCUACUUUUGGAGCGUCUUUAACCCUCGGCUACAUUUUA